rnacentral:rRNA from 1 species
GAAACUAGAUACAAGCGAGCGGCGGACGGGUGAGUAACACGUGGGUAACCUGCCCAAGAGACUGGGAUAACACCUGGAAACAGAUGCUAAUACCGGAUAACAACACUAGACGCAUGUCUAGAGUUUAAAAGAUGGUUCUGCUAUCACUCUUGGAUGGACCUGCGGUGCAUUAGCUAGUUGGUAAGGUAACGGCUUACCAAGGCAAUGAUGCAUAGCCGAGUUGAGAGACUGAUCGGCCACAUUGGGACUGAGACACGGCCCAAACUCCUACGGGAGGCAGCAGUAGGGAAUCUUCCACAAUGGACGCAAGUCUGAUGGAGCAACGCCGCGUGAGUGAAGAAGGGUUUCGGCUCGUAAAGCUCUGUUGGUAGUGAAGAAAGAUAGAGGUAGUAACUGGCCUUUAUUUGACGGUAAUUACUUAGAAAGUCACGGCUAACUACGUGCCAGCAGCCGCGGUAAUACGUAGGUGGCAAGCGUUGUCCGGAUUUAUUGGGCGUAAAGCGAGUGCAGGCGGUUCAAUAAGUCUGAUGUGAAAGCCUUCGGCUCAACCGGAGAAUUGCAUCAGAAACUGUUGAACUUGAGUGCAGAAGAGGAGAGUGGAACUCCAUGUGUAGCGGUGGAAUGCGUAGAUAUAUGGAAGAACACCAGUGGCGAAGGCGGCUCUCUGGUCUGCAACUGACGCUGAGGCUCGAAAGCAUGGGUAGCGAACAGGAUUAGAUAC